UACCAGCACCCCGAGUGGUCGGUACGAUUAUUGGGCCUAAAGCAUCCGUAGCCGGUUCUACAAGUCUUCCGUGAAAUCCACCUGCUUAACAGAUGGGCUGCGGAGGAUACUAUAGAGCUAGGAGGCGGGAGAGGCAAGCGGUACUUAGUGGGUAGGGGUAAAAUCCGUUGAUCCAUUGAAGACCACCAGUGGCGAAGGCGGCUUGCCAGAACGCACUCGACGGUGAGGGAUGAAAGCUGGGGGAGCAAACCGG
rnacentral:rRNA from 1 species